CCCAGGUCUACAGGAGGGGAUUCACAAGGGCCACUGGGACCAAAGACAAGAUUUUUUUUUUAAUUAAAAUAAAAAUAAAAUAAGACAGGGGAUAAUAAAAUAAAAAGGGAACAAAAAUCAAAGUUCUGUCUAAAGCCAUUAAUGAAAGUCAUAUAUUUAUGUUAACAUGAUCCAGUGAUUUGCUUUACAUGAUUAUUAAAUAAUAAAGGAACUAGAGAAAUACAGAGUUGUGUGAUACACUUGAAAAAAUAUGUAAAUAUAAAUAAUCCAUUUAAUAGAUAAAUAAAAAACCACAGCAAUUAUCUGAAAAUACCAUCCAUUCACCUGAUUUUCAAGAAUAUGUUUUAUUCUGUUUCAAAAGCAGCAUUUACAGGAAUAUCAACAUUCAACAGAACUGAAACAAGACUGCACAUGAUAGAAGAUUAAAACAUGUCUGAAGUGAUGAGUACAAAUAGAUGUCAGAUAUGCUUCACCUUAAAAACCACAACUUUCUCUUGUUUGCUCCACCCACAAUUUUUCAUAGAUAUUCAUCAUGGAAAAGUCCUGAAAAAUAGAUAUUUUUCAGGACUCUACACCGGACUGUCCCUGGAGUCGGGUGGACCACCAUCUUCAUGUGGCGGCCUUCCUCCAUCGGCGUCCCGUUCAGGUAGAGGCGUUCAGCUGCUCCUGUGAUGCUGUUCAGAGUCUGAUUAUCAGUCCAUCUUUUCACUGACUGAUCAGAGACUGAGAGUGAAGCUGAACUACCUCAUUGAUAACUCCUUAGGUGUCUCUAGUAAUUAAUCUUUAACAUUUAACAAUUUUUUUUAUUAAUGAAUAAAGAGGAGUCUCAAUUUAUCUCCACAGCUUCACUCUCAGUCUCUGAUCAGUCAGUGAAAAGACAUGGGGGGAGAUUUGUCUCAAAGUUAUGCACAAAUAUGUAUCCACAAUUUCCACAUGUGACUUUCAGAUCCACAAAUAUAUUUCCAUGAUUUUCACGUGUUUUUUAAAUUUGUGUUUGUGCAUUUAUCAUGAUUCAUCAUUCGUAAAUCAUCAAUUCUGCUAUUGAAUUGUUGAAAAAUGUGUUUGUGGAUAAACCGGCACGUGUGUUUAUUUUUGAGACAAAUAUCACAGUUUUGAAGACACACACAAGUUGAGGAUUUUCACCUGAGGAGAACACUGCCUCUCCCAUCCACUGGGCAGCAGUGUUUCUCCCUCUGUUGAGAGCAUAGACUGUGAAUAAGAUAGUUGACAGCUAUCCACCUUAGAAGUGGGGAGAAGUUUCUCUGCUUCUAUAGUGGAUAGCUGUAAAUAAUCCCUUUCAUAGUCUAUGCCCUUAACAGAGAGACAGAGAGCUAUUUACACAAAUGUUGUAAAGUUUAACCCAAAAUAAACUCAAAUUCUGAUGAUUUAUUUGUUGUAUUUUAUGGUACAGGUGCUCGCAGUUGGACUCGACAUAUUGGAAGAAGAGGAGGAUCAUCAAACAGAGCAGCGGAUACUCUCAGGUGAUGUUAUCAUCUGUGUUUUUAAAGUUCAUCAGUGUUUAAGUCACUGGAAAAUUAAUCAUUGCGUUGUAGAUGAGACAUGACUUUAAGAAAACGUAGAGCUUGAAACAUCAGGGUUAUGAUUAAAUUAAUUUAUUCACCAAAAAUCACAAAUCGGCUGAUAUUAAUGUUUUUUUUUUGUUUUGUUUAAUUUGCUGCAUGAAAAAGAACAAGCAGAAGUAUGAUAAAAUUUUCUGUAAAUGUUUCUGUAAAUUAAAUCAGUCUAAGGUUUUUUGGUCAUGACUUUAAAGUUACGAUAUGACUAAAGCAGCUGCUUUUUCUUUUGUUGGGUUAAAAGUGACAAACUAAUUGUCUCUCUUCUUUUCUUUCAGGACCAACUGUGGAGUUUUUUCCUUUUGUGAAUUGUUUUCCUUUGUUCUUGUUGUUACUUAGCAUUUUUGGAGGAGUCUGACAGCUAAAACCCACAGAAUCUGGAAUGGCUGCACUCUUGAUCCAGCACGCGGAUCAAAUACACAAGCAUCAUAAUCAGUGUGCGUGAUUCUACAGAGUCGGUCCACUGUCCGGCUCCACUGCAGAUCGGCGGUUGGAUUAGAUACACAAGACUUCAAUUUUUGACACCGCAGCACAGCGCAGCACAAGCAGCAGCGGAAGUUGUAUGCGGUUACAGAGUAAAAUACCUGGUUAAUUUUCAAAAUAAAGUCAACACAUUGAACUGUUCUUCACUUAAUAAUAGUAGAAGCCAGGGUUGUGGGAUGUGGGUGUUUUAUAUAUACCGCUGUUUAUAUGCACUGAUCGGCAGAUCUCAUUCAAUGUCUCAUGGUGAAACACGCGAGUUCUCAUGAGACCUUGUCCAGUCUCGCGAGAAACAUCGGUUAUAUCGUGAGCGCUUCUCCUUUGCUUGCUGCAGCAGAUCAGAUCCGGUGGGCGCUGUAUGCUUGGGUAUUUGAUCCGCCUGCUGGUCUGGAGCGGAGUGGAACCGUUCUGGAUCUUGUGGAAUCCCCGGGUUACUGUGUGUUUAUUUAGUUGGAAUGUAGUUUAGUAAAGUUAGGUACAGGCAGUGAAGGUAGGAGUUUUAUUUUAUUUCUUUGAAACAAGAGAGAUCUUGAGCUUCCCUUUUAGGUACUUGCUUCACUCUCUGAUAGGUAGGUUGGAGAUUGAGCUGCCUAUAAAAGGAGAGCAGAAUUACUCCCAAGGGAGGAAGAUGUGCCCUUGUUUAAUCUCAUUUAAGACUCAAUUUGUUUGAUCUUGGGAGAAGCUUGUAGUUUUUAAUGGAAACUUUAUAUGUGGACUUGACUGUAAAUGAAAAAAUAUUCACUGCUAAGAAAACAGCAGUCUGUCAAGUUGUCUUCAUGGGGGGACCAACAAGUUCAUAAAUAAAAAACACACAGACACA
rnacentral:lncRNA from 1 species